rnacentral:rRNA from 1 species
AACGUACUCAGUUCGGAUUGAAGUCUGCAACUCGACUACAUGAAGCUGGAAUCGCUAGUAAUCGCAGAUCAGAAUGCUGCGGUGAAUACGUUCCCGGGUCUUGUACACACCGCCCGUCACACCAUGGGAGUCGGAAAUGCCCGAAGCCGGUGACCCAACCAAAAGGAGGGAGCCGUCGAAGGCAGGUCUGAUAACUGGGGUGAAGUCGUAACAAGGUAAC